rnacentral:rRNA from 1 species
GUCCCAGCUGUAAACGAUGGAUAUUAGAUGUUGUCUAUAUAAAUAAUAUGCAGUAUCGUAGCUAACGCGUUAAAUAUCCCGCCUGGGAAGUACGCUCGCAAGAGUGAAACUCAAAGGAAUUGACGGGUGCCUGCACAAGCGGUGGAGCAUGUGGUUUAAUUCGAUGCAACACGAAAAACCUUACCAGGAUUUGACAUGAAGAGAAGUUUUUGAAAGAAAAUGUGCUACGGCCUCUUACACAGGUGGUGCAUGGCUGUCGU